AACGAACGCUGGCGGCGCGCCUAAUACAUGCAAGUCGAACGAGAAGCUGUAGCAAUACAGUUGUACAGUGGCGAACGGGUGAGGAAUACAUGGGUGACCUACCCUCGAGUGGGGAAUAACCAGCCGAAAGGUUGGCUAAUACCGCGUACGCUUCCCAGUCUACGGGUUGGGAAGGAAAGCGAUGCCGUGGGUAUCGCGCUCAAGGUUGGGCUCAUGUCCUAUCAGCUUGUGGUGGGGUAACGGCUCACCAAGGCAACGACGGGUAGCUGGUCUGAGAGGACGAUCAGCCACACUGGCACUGCGACACGGGCCAGACUCCUACGGGAGGCAGCAGUAAGGAAUAUUGCGCAAUGGGCGAAAGCCUGACGCAGCGACGCCGCGUGGGGGAUGAAGGUCUUCGGAUUGUAAACCCCUUUCGGGAGGGAAGAUGGACGAGCAAUCGUUCGGACGGUACCUCCAGAAGCAGCCACGGCUAACUUCGUGCCAGCCGCCGCCGU
rnacentral:rRNA from 1 species